rnacentral:sRNA from 1 species
UUGAGGCUAAUGACCACUCAAGAUACAAUAUCCACCAUAAAUUGAAAUUUUUGUUAAUAUACUUGGUACAAGAAAGUUGUAUUUUCCACCAAAAAAAAAAAUUAAAUUAGAUCCAUUUAUAACAAGUUUAAGCUAAAGCAUUUAUAUCUUAAUUUAUUAGGAAUAAAGACAAGUUUAUUUAUAAUUUUGUUUUUAAAUGUAUUUGAAUAAAUACUGAAGAAUUUUCUUUAGGAAUCAUGCAGUUUUUUUCCAAACACCAGCAUAUACAGUUGAGAUGUUGAGAAAUUUUGAUAAUAUAUGAAAUGCACAAGGGUUGCAGCCUUGUGUAGCGUGUAGAUAGAGAGCAAUCUAUAGUUUGUUGUUAUGGUAUUCUAUGUGUAAAGCUACAUCUUGACAGUUCCAACAUUUUUGGAGGGUUCAUAUGUGAAAGACACUGUUCUUGAAAGGGUCACUGUAUGUACUUGGUGUAUACAAAACACUUUUCAAAUUAUAGAAAUCUUUUUUAUUAUAUUCUGACUUUGCUGACUAAAAUUUCAAUUAAACAUUUGGCCGUUUU